rnacentral:misc_RNA from 1 species
CGACACCGUGCUGGAGCGGUCGAUGGGCACGCCCGUCGACGAGACGCAGCGGGCGCUGGAGAGCGCUCUGCAGCAAGCCGGCGAUGCGAAGGAGCCCGCCGACCGCGACACCGUGCUGGAGCGGUCGAUGGGCACGCCCGUGGACGAGGCGGAGCGGGCGCUGGAGAGCGCUCUGCAGCAAGCCGGCGAUGCGAAGGAGCCCGCCGACCGCGACACCGUGCUGGAGCGGUCGAUGGGCACGCCCGUGGACGAGGCGGAGCGGGCGCUGGAGAGCGCUCUGCAGCAAGCCGGCGAUGCGAAGGAGCCCGCCGACCGCGACACCGUGCUGGAGCGGUCGAUGGGCACGCCCGUCGACGAGGCGCAGCGGGCGCUGGAGAGCGCUCUGCAGCAAGCCGGCGAUGCGAAGGAGCCCGCCAGCCGCGACGCCGUGCUGGAGCGGUCGAUGGGCACGCCCGUCGACGAGGCGGAGCGGGCGCUGGAGAGCGCUCUGCAGCAAGCCGGCGAUGCGAAGGAGCCCGCCAGCCGCGACGCCGUGCUGGAGCGGUCGAUGGGCACGCCCGUCGACGAGGCGGAGCGGGCGCUGGAGAGCGCUCUGCAGCAAGCCGGCGAUGCGAAGGAGCCCGCCGACCGCGACGCCGUGCUGGAGCGGUCGAUGGGCACGCCCGUCGACGAGGCGGAGCGGGCGCUGGAGAGCGCUCUGCAGCAAGCCGGCGAUGCGAAGGAGCCCGCCGACCGCGACACCGUGCUGGAGCGGUCGAUGGGCACGCCCGUCGACGAGACGCAGCGGGCGCUGGAGAGCGCUCUGCAGCAAGCCGGCGAUGCGAAGGAGCCCGCCGACCGCGACACCGUGCUGGAGCGGUCGAUGGGCACGCCCGUGGACGAGACGCAGCGGGCGCUGGAGAGCGCUCUGCAGCAAGCCGGCGAUGCGAAGGAGCCCGCCGACCGCGACACCGUGCUGGAGCGGUCGAUGGGCACGCCCGUCGACGAGGCGGAGCGGGCGCUGGAGAGCGCUCUGCAGCAAGCCGGCGAUGCGAAGGAGCCCGCCAGCCGCGACGCCGUGCUGGAGCGGUCGAUGGGCACGCCCGUGGACGAGACGCAGCGGGCGCUGGAGAGCGCUCUGCAGCAAGCCGGCGAUGCGAAGGAGCCCGCCAGCCGCGACGCCGUGCUGGAGCGGUCGAUGGGCACGCCCGUCGACGAGGCGGAGCGGGCGCUGGAGAGCGCUCUACAGCAAGCCGGCGAUGCGAAGGAGCCCGCCAGCCGCGACGCCGUGCUGGAGCGGUCGAUGGGCACGCCCGUCGACGAGGCGGAGCGGGCGCUGGAGAGCGCUCUGCAGCAAGCCGGCGAUGCGAAGGAGCCCGCCAGCCGCGACGCCGUGCUGGAGCGGUCGAUGGGCACGCCCGUCGACGAGGCGGAGCGGGCGCUGGAGAGCGCUCUGCAGCAAGCCGGCGAUGCGAAGGAGCCCGCCAGCCGCGACGCCGUGCUGGAGCGGUCGAUGGGCACGCCCGUCGACGAGGCGGAGCGGGCGCUGGAGAGCGCUCUGCAGCAAGCCGGCGAUGCGAAGGAGCCCGCCAGCCGCGACGCCGUGCUGGAGCGGUCGAUGGGCACGCCCGUCGACGAGACGCAGCGGGCGCUGGAGAGCGCUCUGCAGCAAGCCGGCGAUGCGAAGGAGCCCGCCAGCCGCGACGCCGUGCUGGAGCGGUCGAUGGGCACGCCCGUCGACGAGGCGGAGCGGGCGCUGGAGAGCGCUCUGCAGCAAGCCGGCGAUGCGAAGGAGCCCGCCGACCGCGACACCGUGCUGGAGCGGUCGAUGGGCACGCCCGUCGACGAGACGCAGCGGGCGCUGGAGAGCGCUCUGCAGCAAGCCGGCGAUGCGAAGGAGCCCGCCAGCCGCGACGCCGUGCUGGAGCGGUCGAUGGGCACGCCCGUGGACGAGACGCAGCGGGCGCUGGAGAGCGCUCUGCAGCAAGCCGGCGAUGCGAAGGAGCCCGCCGACCGCGACACCGUGCUGGAGCGGUCGAUGGGCACGCCCGUCGACGAGGCGGAGCGGGCGCUGGAGAGCGCUCUGCAGCAAGCCGGCGAUGCGAAGGAGCCCGCCGACCGCGACACCGUGCUGGAGCGGUCGAUGGGCACGCCCGUCGACGAGACGCAGCGGGCGCUGGAGAGCGCUCUGCAGCAAGCCGGCGAUGCGAAGGAGCCCGCCAGCCGCGACGCCGUGCUGGAGCGGUCGAUGGGCACGCCCGUCGACGAGGCGGAGCGGGCGCUGGAGAGCGCUCUGCAGCAAGCCGGCGAUGCGAAGGAGCCCGCCAGCCGCGACGCCGUGCUGGAGCGGUCGAUGGGCACGCCCGUCGACGAGGCGGAGCGG